rnacentral:rRNA from 1 species
UACGUAGGGGGCGAGCGUUGUCCGGAUUCAUUGGGCGUAAAGAGCUCGUAGGCGGUUUCGUAAGUCGGGUGUGAAAACCCCAGGCUCAACCUGGGGACGCCACCUGAUACUGCGAUGACUCGAGUCUGGUAGGGGAUCACGGAAUUCCUGGUGUAGCGGUGAAAUGCGCAGAUAUCAGGAGGAACACCGGUGGCGAAGGCGGUGAUCUGGGCCAGUACUGACGCUGAGGAGCGAAAGCGUGGGUAGCAAACAGG